AUGGGUCUGGUGCCCACCAUCCUUUCAGCAAAAUCUGCUUCUUUUUUUGCUGAUUUUACCAAGAAUCACGCUUCCUUCUGGGCAAGGCAAAUGACUCAUUCAAAAGACCUUGCUAGGGCUGGACAAGAAAAUUUGCUAAAUCAAAGCAUAAGACUAAUGACUCAGAUGUCUUCCACUAACCUAACUCUAGACUUUUGUAUGCUUGUAACUAAAUGUCACCAUUAUGAAUUGAUUGUUUUUUUAUGUUUUUUUUUUUGUCAUGGUUAUCGCAAUCUCGGGAUCAGAUUUAUUUUAGAAUUUGUAAGGAUUGAAUACAACACCUGCUCUGAGCCUGUUCCUGCCAAGAGCUCAUGCCUAAAUAGCAUUACUUCAUUUAGUGUUAAAUGA
rnacentral:lncRNA from 1 species